AGUGGGGAAUAUUGCACAAUGGGGGAAACCCUGAUGCAGCCAUGCCGCGUGUGUGAAGAAGGCCUUCGGGUUGUAAAGCACUUUCAGUAGGGAGGAAGGUAGUGUAGUUAACAUCUGCAUUAUUUGACGUUACCUACAGAAGAAGCACCGGCUAACUCCGUGCCAGCAGCCGCGGUAAUACGGAGGGUGCGAGCGUUAAUCGGAAUUACUGGGCGUAAAGCGCAUGCAGGCGGCCUGUUAAGUCAGAUGUGAAAGCCCGGGGCUUAACCUCGGAAUUGCAUUUGAAACUGGCAGGCUAGAGUCUUGUAGAGGGGGGUAGGAAUUUCAGGUGUAGCGGUGAAAUGCGUAGAGAUCUGAAGGAAUACCAGUGGCGAAGGCGGCCCCCUGGACAAAGACUGACGCUCAGAUGCGAAAGCGUGGGGAGCAAACAGGAUUAGAUACCCUGGUAG
rnacentral:rRNA from 1 species